GGAAUUCCUAGUGUAGCGGUGAAAUGCGUAGAGAUUAGGAAGAACACCAGUGGCGAAGGCGGCUUUCUGGACUGUAACUGACGCUGAGGCACGAAAGCGUGGGUAGCAAACAGGAUUAGAUACCCUGGUAGUCCACGCCGUAAACGAUGGAUACUAGGUGUAGGGGGUAUCAACUCCCCCUGUGCCGCAGUUAACACAAUAAGUAUCCCGCCUGGGGAGUACGGUCGCAAGAUUAAAACUCAAAGGAAUUGACGGGGGCCCGCACAAGCAGCGGAGCAUGUGGUUUAAUUCGAAGCAACGCGAAGAACCUUACCUGGACUUGACAUCCCUUGCAUAGCCUAGAGAUAGGUGAAGCCCUUCGGGGCAAGGGAGACAGGUGGUGCAUGGUUGUCGUCAGCUCGUGUCGUGAGAUGUUAGGUUAAGUCCUGCAACGAGCGCAACCCUUGUUAUUAGUUGCUACCAUUAAGUUGAGCACUCUAAUGAGACUGCCUGGGUAACCAGGAGGAAGGUGGGGAUGACGUCAAAUCAUCAUGCCCCUUAUGUCCAGGGCUACACACGUGC
rnacentral:rRNA from 1 species